ensembl:lncRNA
UUUUGCUAAACAGCCCUGAACAGUUUCCAAUGCAUUGUCAAUGUGGCUUGUAAACCAACCCGAAUGUAAUAUAAUUCUGGGCACAUGUUGACUCAUUGGCGCUUCUCCAUGCAGCACGUGGGAGGGGAGAGGGACGCACAUUCUGUAAACAGGAAUAGGUGAUUCACUGGUCACUGAGCUGGCAAGCUAAAGUUAGCUAGUUAGUCACAGAAAUGUACGUUCAGCCUGUUAAUGAUUUCAGUCCGAUUUGAUUUAUCUUACGAAGUCAGCAUGGCAUAGUUUCUUUCGUUUUUGACCUUGACAUAGUUGCUGGAUAUAUAUACUUUCAUUUCUGACAUGCUAACGACGCCAGCUGACCUCAUAUCUGGAUGCCUCACUCUAGUCCCUGAGAGAGCAGCAUACUGGCCCUCCAUUCCCAAACCUGAAGCCCCCUGUCCCCAGCAGGAAAGACCAGGAAAAAGUGUUGGCUUAAGGUACAACUUCCUAUUGAGGAAAUGUAAGACAGCUCACUGUCAUAUUUAGAUUGCUUGUAUAUGCUUCUAUUCAUGUCAGUAACUCAAUCUAUCAAAUGUAUUUUAUAAAGCCCUUUUUACAUCAGCAGCUGUCACAAAGUGCUUAUACAGAUACCCAGCCUAAAACCCCAAAGAGCAAGUAAUGCAGACAAAGAAGCACAGAGGCUAGGACAAACUCCCUAGGAAUAAACCUAGAGGAACCAGGCUCUGAGGGGUGGCCAGUCCUCGUCUGGCUGUGCUGGUGGAGAUUAUAAAAGAGUACAACCAUUUAGCCAGAUUAUUCUUCAAGACGUUUAAACAUUCAUAGAUGACCAGCAGUGUCAAAUUAUAGAGGGUUCAGCACCUCAAGAGUAAAUACCAGUUAGCUCUUCAUAGCUGAGCAUUUAGAGGUUGAGACAGUAAGUCCGGUAGAGAGACAGGAUCAAACAGCGGGUCUGGGACGAGUUAGUACCUCCGGUGAGCCUUGAGCAGGUCAGGGUUCCAUAGCUGCAGACAGAAACAGCACAGCAGAGACUGGAUAAGCAGCACAACUAGGUGGACUAUAGACAGGGACAGUCAGGAGUCAUCAUGCCAGGUAGUCCUGAGGCAUGGUCCUAGAGCUCAUGUCUUGCAUCCUUUAUUUAACUUGAAUGUAGACUAAUCCCUAGAGGUUUAUAACUUCACAUGAUUUAGCCUAGUUGUCAAUCCAGAUUUGAAUAUUUUAUAUCCUUUUUACUGAACACUGUUGAUAGUAAUUUUUCCCUAGCUAAUCACUGAUUUCCUUCUACAAGGAUGUGGUCAGAUUGACACUUCUAAGUCAUAAUAACACAACACACACACACACAUCAGAUUGCAAGGGCAAGUACAAUGAGCAGUUGGGAAAAUUAAAUCUGCUACGUGGGUUGCCAGAUACACACAAACACACACACUUAAUUAAUUUGUUGUAUUUAUUAUGGAUCCCCAUUAGCUGCUGCCAAGACCGCAGUUACUCUUCUUCGGGUCCAGCAAAAUUAAGGCAGUUAUACAAUUUUUAAAAACAUUACAAUACAUUCACAACACAUUAAAUGUGUGCCCUCAGGCCACUACUCUACUACCACAUAUCUACAACACAAAAUCUUUGUGUACAGUGUGUAUGUUAUCGUGUGUAUGCAUGUGUGUCUUCAUAGUCCCUGCUGUUCCAUAAGGUGUAUUUUUAUCUGUUUUUUAAAUCUAAUUUUACUGCUUGCAUGAGUUACUUGAUGUGGAACAGAGUUCCAUUUGGUCAUGGCUCUAUGUACUACUAUGCGCCUCCCAUAGUUUGUUCUGUUUAGGUUAGUGUGUCGUCAAGGCUUUGUCAUUAAAAUUAUAUUGUGCCUAUUUUUCAGAUCUUCCAACCUGAUCGGUGGUUGACUGGUAACCGUCUUUCCACCAAGCUGUUCCAGGCUUGGAGUGGCACGCUGGAACUUCCAGAUGCUUGUAGACCUGAAGCAGUGUGAUGUAUUCCAGGUAUUUAUCAAACACACAAAUACACACUCAAUCACUCAAUCUGUUUUGUAUAAUUAUUUUAAUUUAAGAAAAUUGUUCUUUUAAAUCUGACAACCACAGUCUUCACAGCUGCAGUCGUUUGCCCCUGCAUCUGCUACACCGGCUACAUACGCACAUGCACACUCUCCCUUACUUGGGGCUCUAUUCAAUCAUGUCCGCUUUAGCCGACAUCCACAUAGAGGUCGUUUUGGCGUUGUCUGAGGUGGAACUGUGUUAGAGCUGUCAAAUUCACAAGCUGCUCCUGGCAUUAUACCUAACAGAGUCACAUUAACAGAAAUCUCAUGCAGCCCUGUUUACAAGUUAGAACACUGGAAUUUGAGAUGUAAUCUACACCUCGAUUAGGCCGAUUGAAAUCCUCAUUAUUUAGUUUAAUGAUUUUGAAUUUGAGCGUCAUUGUUUCUAUAUAACCUAUACUUCCUAGUUUUGAACUUAAUGCGAAUAGGACUGGUGUAGUUUUGUGACAAUGAUCAAGAACUACCGGUUUGACAGAUCCAACGCAGUUACACCUCAGACACCGCCAAAACAUCAGUUAUGCGGGUGUUGGUUAUCGCCGGUUAACGCUUGAUCUGAUUGAAUCUAGGCCUUCCACUCAUUCAGUCUAUUUAGUUGUAUGAUUAUUGUCAGUUAAGAAAAUUGUGCCUCUCUAUUUUAGAUCUGCCAUGCUCAGCAGUUCAGCUGCAGACACAGCAGUCCGCUGGUGUGGUAUUUAGUUUACCAGCUGCACCAGUUCCUACUACACUGGCCGUGAAGGGAGAAACUUUUAAAGAUUACCAGAUGGAUACAGGUAAUUCAGAAUUAUAUUACAUAUGCUCACCCACACCAACAGACAUGUUGUUGAGCUGUAUACUUACUGUCACUUUGUGCCUCUGUCUUUCAGAUCUGCCAUGCUCUCCACCACUGCCUGACAGCUUCACCCAGAAGUGCAUACACUGGGCCUAUCAAGACUGACAAAGCAGAGAUGGGUGGCUGACAAGGAAAAAUAAAAAAACAUGCACACAUUAUCCACAAUGUAAAUAAGUUGUAAUUACUUGUUUAUUUAAUAUUUGCUGCCUUUUAUUUUAGGAUUGGAGAUAUCUACUCCUAUAUAUCCAUUAUCAAUAUCUGCUCUAAAUGCCUAUCAAAUCAAUGUGUGAUUGAAAAUAUUCUAAAAGACUUGUGUGUACAGUUUUAGGAAAUUCUGUGUACUUUUUUUCUGAUUUGAAAAACAUGCUUCCCUCUCUCACACACACACACACUAGACCCAAUGUAAAUAAAUUGUAAUAACUUGUUUAUUUUAUGUAUGCUACAUUUUGUUUGAGGAAAAUAUCUUCAAUAAAGUACAUUUACAGUUAAAG